CCUACGGGAGGCAGCAGUGAGGAAUAUUGGUCAAUGGUCGGGAGACUGAACCAGCCAAGCCGCGUGAGGGAUGAAGGUACAGAGUAUCGUAAACCUCUUUUGUCAGGGAACAAAGGCGGGGACGUGUCGCCGGAUGAGUGUACCUGAAGAAAAAGCAUCGGCUAACUCCGUGCCAGCAGCCGCGGUAAUACGGAGGAUGCGGGCGUUAUCCGGAUUUAUUGGGUUUAAAGGGUGCGCAGGCGGUCUGUCAAGCCAGCGGUGAAAGGCCGGGGCUCAACCCCGGCCCCGCCGUUGAAACUGGCAGUCUCGAGUUGGAGGGAAGUAUGCGGAAUGCGCGGUGUAGCGGUGAAAUGCAUAGAUAUCGCGCAGAACUCCGAUUGCGAAGGCAGCAUGCCGGCUCCACACUGACGCUGAGGCACGAAAGCGUGGGUAUCGAACAGGAUUAGAUACCCCAGUAGUC
rnacentral:rRNA from 1 species